GGAAGGAUCAUUACCGAGUGAGGGCCCUCUGGGUCCAACCUCCCACCCGUGUCUAUCGUACCUUGUUGCUUCGGCGGGCCCGCCGUUUCGACGGCCGCCGGGGAGGCCUUGCGCCCCCGGGCCCGCGCCCGCCGAAGACCCCAACAUGAACGCUGUUCUGAAAGUAUGCAGUCUGAGUUGAUUAUCGUAAUCAGUUAAAACUUUCAACAACGGAUCUCUUGGUUCCGGCAUCGAUGAAGAACGCAGCGAAAUGCGAUAAGUAAUGUGAAUUGCAGAAUUCAGUGAAUCAUCGAGUCUUUGAACGCACAUUGCGCCCCCUGGUAUUCCGGGGGGCAUGCCUGUCCGAGCGUCAUUGCUGCCCUCAAGCACGGCUUGUGUGUUGGGCCCCCGUCCCCCUCUCCCGGGGGACGGGCCCGAAAGGCAGCGGCGGCACCGCGUCCGGUCCUCGAGCGUAUGGGGCUUUGUCACCUGCUCUGUAGGCCCGGCCGGCGCCAGCCGACACCCAACUUUAUUUUUCUAAGGUUGACCUCGGAUCAGGUAGGGAUACCCGCUGAACUUAAGCAU
rnacentral:rRNA from 1 species